rnacentral:misc_RNA from 1 species
GAAUUGCGAUAAGUAGUGUGAAUUGCAGAAUUCCGUGAAUCAUCGAAUCUUUGAACGCAUAUUGCACUCUUUGGUAAUCCGAAGAGUAUGCCUGUUUGAGGGUCAUUUGAAAAUUAAUCUUGGCUAAAAUUUAAAUAGUCUUGGAAUAAUGAGUUUUCCGUUACCAGUCCAGGUAAUGGUCACUCGAAAUUAAUGCUAGUCUUGGCUUGUAAAAAGACGCGUUUAUGUAUAAAUCUUCGCAACUAAUCAAGUCUCCAUGUUCUGGCAAGUUCAAUUAUCUUUUCUAAAGAGAAAAGGAAAUCGAACAUUAUAUAUAUAUAAUCGUGACCUCAAAUCAGGUAAGAAUACCCGCUGAACUUAA